CACGGGUGAGUAACACGUAUCCAACCUACCUCAUACUCGGGGAUAGCCUUUCGAAAGAAAGAUUAAUAUCCGAUAGCAUAUAUUUCCCGCAUGGGUUUUAUAUUAAAGAAAUUCGGUAUGAGAUGGGGAUGCGUUCCAUUAGUUUGUUGGGGGGGUAACGGCCCACCAAGACUACGAUGGAUAGGGGUUCUGAGAGGAAGGUCCCCCACAUUGGAACUGAGACACGGUCCAAACUCCUACGGGAGGCAGCAGUGAGGAAUAUUGGUCAAUGGACGCGAGUCUGAACCAGCCAAGUAGCGUGAAGGAUGACUGCCCUAUGGGUUGUAAACUUCUUUUAUAUGGGAAUAAAGUUGUCCACGUGUGGAUUUUUGUAUGUACCAUAUGAAUAAGGAUCGGCUAACUCCGUGCCAGCAGCCGCGGUAAUACGGAGGAUCCGAGCGUUAUCCGGAUUUAUUGGGUUUAAAGGGAGCGUAGGCGGAUUGUUAAGUCAGUUGUGAAAGUUUGCGGCUCAACCGUAAAAUUGCAGUUGAUACUGGCAGUCUUGAGUGCAGUAGAGGUGGGCGGAAUUCGUGGUGUAGCGGUGAAAUGCUUAGAUAUCACGAAGAACUCCGAUUGCGAAGGCAGCUCACUGGAGUGUAACUGACGCUGAUGCUCGAAAGUGUGGGUAUCAAACAGGAUUAGAUACCCUGGUAGUCCACACAGUAAACGAUGAAUACUCGCUGUUUGCGAUAUACAGUAAGCGGCCAAGCGAAAGCAUUAAGUAUUCCACCUGGGG
rnacentral:rRNA from 1 species